rnacentral:rRNA from 1 species
UACGUAGGGGCUAGCGUUAUCCGGAAUUACUGGGCGUAAAGGGUGCGUAGGUGGUUUCUUAAGUCAGAGGUGAAAGGCUACGGCUCAACCGUAGUAAGCCUUUGAAACUGGGAAACUUGAGUGCAGGAGAGGAGAGUGGAAUUCCUAGUGUAGCGGUGAAAUGCGUAGAUAUCACACAGAACACCGAUUGCGAAGGCAGCACACUAAGUCAUUAUUGACGCUGAGGCACGAAAGUGUGGGGAUCAAACAGGAUUAGAUACCCGGGUAGUCCCUGA